AAACUUGAGCUAAUACCGGAUACGCCCUUCGGGGGAAAGAUUUAUUGCCGAAAGAUCGGCCCGCGUCCGAUUAGCUAGUUGGUGUGGUAAUGGCGCACCAAGGCGACGAUCGGUAGCUGGUCUGAGAGGAUGAUCAGCCACACUGGGACUGAGACACGGCCCAGACUCCUACGGGAGGCAGCAGUGGGGAAUAUUGGACAAUGGGCGCAAGCCUGAUCCAGCCAUGCCGCGUGAGUGAUGAAGGCCCUAGGGUUGUAAAGCUCUUUCGCCAGGGACGAUAAUGACGGUACCUGGACAAGAAGCCCCGGCUAACUUC
rnacentral:rRNA from 1 species